GCAUGUGAUGCACAAUGCACAACACAACAAUCGGAUUCUGAUUGUCAACGUGGAAAUCAUCCCUUGUUAAAGCACAUCCAGCUUCACCCAUCCCAUAAACUUGAUAUAAUCGACCAUCAUUUCGGUCGUCCAUGGCUGCCGCAUGCCGGUGAGAUCUGAUAGCGCCCUGUUACCAGUCCCGGUUGUUCACCUCUACCCUACUGACCGGUACGAGGCCGAAUGUGGACCAGAGGAGGAGCCACAAAACCCCAGCUCCUGGACGGUGGUCCCACACUCGACCGUGUGCUACUGACCUGGAGACUGAGCGGUGUGUUGGUAGCGGCAGGUCAGCUGUCUGCACGUCAGUUCAGUGUCAAGCUAUCUGUCUGAAGACAUAUCUAUAAAAAGGACAAAAUGAAGGCCGUAUUUGUUUUGGUUUUCUUGUCGGCAGUAGCAGCCAGUACCGCACAAUUCCAUUCCUUCGGCCUGCUCGUGCGUUCAUCCGGCUGCAGCACCUGUCCUAACUCGUGCUGCGGUGGCUCGUGCUGCGACGGCCCCUCCUGCUGCGGAGGGAAGUGCUGCGGAGGCAUCUGCUGCGGCGGCUCCUGCUGCGUUGGCGGCGUCUGCUGCAGCGGCAAGUGCUGCCAGGGCGAGUGUGUCUCCAACGAAUGCAAGAUUUCCCGCAAGUAAUUUUUCAUUUCAAUAAAACUGGCAAUAAAAAAGACGGACAAUCUGCUGGAGUAGUCAAUCCAUCACUGCAAUUCAAGAGGAAUCAUCUAUGCUACAUAAAUGUGAAUACAAAUAAAGUGUAUACCAUCUAACUGCUUCCAUGUAGAGUGUCGUACAAACGAAGUCUAUUCGCUCGUGAAUGUUGGACAUGUUUCAGUGUGAGAUGCAUGUACCGCUUACGAUAUAAAGCACUGUAUGUGGAAGGGGUUCGCUGAAAUUCACAUCUUUUGUAACGUAUCCGAUCUUAUUUGAUGUCAGGCUGAUUCGAUAAUAAACUGUCGAAAAAGUG